rnacentral:sRNA from 1 species
UACUCCUUUAAUUAAAAAAUCACGGGACGGGUAAAGAAAUUACAGAACGAGUUUUAUUUUGGAAUUAAGUUAUAUGGUGGAUGUAUUUGAAUCAAUAUUUAUAAAAUUUUAAAAUAUUAUUAAUAUGCUGUUUUAAUAGGGUUAAAACUUCAGUUUUUUAAUAAUUGUCUAAUGGAUUCGUGGUAUAGCGUUACUUAAUAACAAUUAUAAAUUGUAAAAUAUAAAUAUUUUAUAAAAA